GCUCAGAUUGAACGCUGGCGGCAGGCCUAACACAUGCAAGCCGAGCGGCAGCACGGGAAGCUUGCUUCCUGGUGGCGAGCGGCGGACGGGUGAGUAAUGCAUAGAAAUCUGCCCGGUAGUGGGGGAUAACCUGGGGAAACCCAGGCUAAUACCGCAUACGUCCUACGGGAGAAAGCAGGGGAUCUUCGGACCUUGCGCUAUCGGAUGAGUCUAUGUCGGAUUAGCUUGUUGGUGAGGUAAUGGCUCACCAAGGCGACGAUCCGUAGCUGGUCUGAGAGGAUGAUCAGCCACAUCGGGACUGAGACACGGCCCGAACUCCUACGGGAGGCAGCAGUA
rnacentral:rRNA from 1 species